UGGAGUAUAGCCAAGUGGUAAGGCAGCGGACUUUGACUCCGCCAUUCGAAGGUUCAAGUCCUUCUACUCCAG
rnacentral:tRNA from 1 species